UCAAGGCUGGCAGCCUGCGGGCCCUGUGGAGCAGCAGCAGAGCAGGUUCAGCACCUGGAGCCAUCGCUGUGAGCCAGCUCACGUGGGCACAUAACCAUUGCAGCUGCCUCCUCUUUAGAGCCAAAGUGUGAAGCAGACACGGGGAAGAGCCCCCAGCAGGGAUAAGGAUGAGGCCUCAGGACCAGUGCAGCCUCUGCAGCCAGCAACUGGUGGUUGAAGCACUGCAGCACUUGGAUGCUCCUUUCCAGCAUAUGGCAUGAGCACACCCGCAGUGAAAACAAUGCAGGCCACGUCUGAUCUCCAACACAGCGCGUUUUUGCGGGUCCCAAGAGGAGGUGCUAUCCACUACUUAAUUGAGAGUAUUCUGUUUCUCCCUGAGCUGCUCUUAAUCUGCUCUCUCGUUUCUGCUGCAAAAUGUUAACAGACCAAAAGGCACACGGGACAGGAGGUACUUUAUCAGUGCAGUUAAAAAAAAAAAAAAACACCUAUGGCUAAAAUAAACAGUUAAGAGACUGAGCAACACGUUCCAGCCCUACAAAAGACUGCAGUGCCCUUUGCCAGAGCUGGAGUGGUGGAUGAUUCAAAUGUGGUCAUUGUUUAAUAUUACACUUUAUCCCUGAAACUUGAUACUACUU